UCCGGUUUGACACCGGCAGUCUCGCUAGAGUCCCCGACAUGACUCGCUGGCAACUAGCGACAGGGGUUUCGCUCGUUAAGGGACUUAACCCGACACUUCACAGCACGAGCUGACGACAGCCAUGCAGCACCUGUGCACGUUCCACGGCAAGCCGCGUCAUCUCGAUUUCUCGAGACUAAUCCGUGCAUGUCAAGCCCAGGAUAAGGUUCUUCGCGUUGCUUCGAAUUAAGCCACAUGCUCCACCGCUUGUGUGAGCCCCCGUCAAUUCCUUUGAGUUUUAGCCUUGCGACCGUACUCCCCAGGCGGUGCACUUAGUAGUUUUCCUUCGACCGAGAUGGCGUCAGAACCUCCUCGAUCUAGUGCACAUCGUUUAGGGCGUGGACUAC
rnacentral:misc_RNA from 1 species